GACGAACGCUGGCGGCGUGCUUAACACAUGCAAGCCGAGCGGUAAGGCCCUUUCGGGGGUACACGAGCGGCGAACGGGUGAGUAACACGUGGGUGACCUGCCCUCAGCUCUGGGAUAAGCCUGGGAAACUGGGUCUAAUACUGGAUAUGACUCCACGGUGCAUGUCGUGGGGUGGAAAGCCUUGUGCGGCUGAGGAUGGGCCCGCGGCCUAUCAGCUUGUUGGUGGGGUGAUGGCCUACCAAGGCGACGACGGGUAGCCGGCCUGAGAGGGCGACCGGCCACACUGGGACUGAGACACGGCCCAGACUCCUACGGGAGGCAGCAGUGGGGAAUCUUGCGCAAUGGGCGAAAGCCUGACGCAGCGACGCCGCGUGAGGGAUGACGGCCU
rnacentral:rRNA from 1 species